UGCAUUUUCCAAAAGCGGAGGAAAAGAAACCAACAGGGAUUGCCUUAGUAGCGGCGAGUGAAGCGGCAAAAGCUCAAAUUUGAAAUCUGGCUCUUUCAGAGUCCGAGUUGUAAUUUGAAGAAGGUAUCUUUGGGUCUGGCUCUUGUCUAUGUUUCUUGGAACAGAACGUCACAGAGGGUGAGAAUCCCGUGCGAUGAGAUGAUCCAGGCCUAUGUAAAGUUCCUUCGAAGAGUCGAGUUGUUUGGGAAUGCAGCUCUAAGUGGGUGGUAAAUUCCAUCUAAAGCUAAAUAUUGGCGAGAGACCGAUAGCGAACAAGUACAGUGAUGGAAAGAUGAAAAGAACUUUGAAAAGAGAGUGAAAAAGUACGUGAAAUUGUUGAAAGGGAAGGGCUUGAGAUCAGACUUGGUAUUUUGUAUGUUACUUCUUCGGGGGUGGCCUCUACAGUUUAUCGGGCCAGCAUCAGUUUGGGCGGUAGGAGAAUUGCGUUGGAAUGUGGCACGGCUUCGGUUGUGUGUUAUAGCCUUCGUCGAUACUGCCAGCCUAGACUGAGGACUGCGGUUUAUACCUAGGAUGUUGGCAUAAUGAUCUUAAGUCGCCCGUCUUGAACCAACGGACAA
rnacentral:rRNA from 1 species